rnacentral:rRNA from 1 species
UACGGAGGGUGCAAGCGUUAUCCGGAUUCACUGGGCUUACAGGGUGCGUAGGCGGCUCAACAAGUCAGGUGUGAAAGCCCCCGGCUCAACCGGGGAACUGCGCUUGAAACUGUUAGGCUCGAGUCAGCUAGAGGUACACGGAACUUCCAGUGGAGCGGUGAAAUGUGUUGAUAUUGGAAGGAACACCGGAGGCGAAAGCGGUGUACUGGGGCUGGUCUGACGCUGAGGCACGAAAGCCAGGGGAGCGAACGGG